rnacentral:lncRNA from 7 species
UUCCUAAAGUGCAGAGGUUCUUUUAGCAAAGUUGCGUCGGUCGAAAGGGUACCAUGUUAUUUCAACCGUCGGAUCAUCCACUAACGUUCAUGAUUAUAUCAAUCAUCCCUUGAACCGGUAUGCUUUAACAGAUGUCGGAUGCAACUCACAUGGCCCAAAACUUAAAUAACUGGGAUCGACCCAGACCCGUCCGAUCACAAUCGAACGCUCCCCGAUCACUAUAGCCGAAGCACUACGUGCAUUUAAAUCAUCACCAUUUAUCGUCGAUCCAACGGCACCUGGAUACUCCUUUGCCUCCCCGCUCACAGGCCUAACCCCGAAACGACGACGUUGUGUCGCACUGCGGAGGCCAUGGUUGGAAAUCCCAAGCCCUUAAUCCACACUUAAGCUUCGAUCCUAACCUGUUUUCGCGCAGAGAAGGAGAGGGUAAACUAAUGAGACAGAUGCUCACUGGUUGUUGGCGGCGCAGAGAUCCUGCCCACGAAUCCCCACGACGCAGCGGCGAUGCACGGUCACCGACAUGAAAUUGCGGACGCCUCAGUAGGGUUCGUGCUGUGCUUGAUCUCGGGCGAGCUUCAACCGCGUCUGGUGAUAUUCCCUAAUGACUUUAUAGGGACCGAGUGGUGUUGUGGAUGAAUUCCCACAGCGGCGGCGACGUUCUGGUUCUCUCUCUCACCCUGCGCACAACUAUGGUGGUGGCGACGGUGCCUUCGACUAGGAAGGGAUGAGGGGAUGAGGGUCGUGGGGCUCCAUGUUUAUAGCAUGGGGACCGAGCCGCACACCUGGGCGAAG